rnacentral:rRNA from 1 species
UACGUAGGCAGCGAGCGUUGUUCGGAGUUACUGGGCGUAAAGCGUGCGUAGGCGGUGGCCCAAGUCUGGUGUGAAAUCUCCCGGCUUAACUGGGAGGGUGCGCCGGAAACUGGGUUGCUGGAGUACCGGAGAGGCAAGCGGAAUUCCUGGUGUAGCGGUGAAAUGCGUAGAUAUCAGGAGGAACACCCGUGGUGUAGACAGCUUGCUGGACGGUCACUGACGCUGAGGCACGAAAGCGUGGGGAGCAAACAGG